UCCCUGAUGGUCCAGUGGUUAAGAGUUUGCCUUGCAAUGCAGAGGACUUGGGUUCAAUCCCUAGUCAGGGAA
rnacentral:tRNA from 1 species